UACGAAGGGUGCAAGCGUUACUCGGAAUUACUGGGCGUAAAGCGUGCGUAGGUGGUGAGUUAAGUCUGUCGUGAAAGCCCCGGGGCUCAACCUGGGAAUGGCGAUGGAUACUGGCUCGCUAGAGUGCGGUAGAGGAGAGUGGAAUUCCCGGUGUAGCAGUGAAAUGCGUAGAGAUCGGGAGGAACAUCAGUUGCGAAGGCGGCUCUCUGGACCAGCACUGACACUGAGGCACGGAAAGCGUGGGGGAGCAAACAGG
rnacentral:rRNA from 1 species